rnacentral:rRNA from 2 species
GAAUGCUGACAUAAGUAACGAUAAAGCGGGUGAAAAGCCCGCUCGCCGGAAGACCAAGGGUUCCUGUCCAACGUUAAUCGGGGCAGGGUGAGUCGACCCCUAAGGCGAGGCCGAAAGGCGUAGUCGAUGGGAAACGGGUUAAUAUUCCCGUACUUGGUGUUACUGCGAAGGGGGGACGGAGAAGGCUAUGUUGGCCGGGCGACGGUUGUCCCGGUUUAAGCGUGUAGGUGUGUGUUCCAGGUAAAUCCGGUUCACUUUAACACUGAGGCGUGACGACGAGGCACUACGGUGCUGAAGCAACAAAUGCCCUGCUUCCAGGAAAAGCCUCUAAGCAUCAGGUAACACGAAAUCGUACCCCAAACCGACACAGGUGGU